CAAAAUGAAUUUAUGUCGUUGUUUGUAGAGAAGGAAACUACUUUCUCAAUAUAUUCAGUAUCUCUGCUCCUUUAGUUCUACUGCUUUGUUCAGAAAUGCUUACUGAAUUGCUCCACACAAUUUUUGACACCAUGGAUCGAAACUAGCCAUGCAAUUAAUUUUAUUUUAUUAAGCAUUUCAUAGCUAAAGAGGUGCUUCGAGUGUACUUUUUAGUUUUCGGUGGUGCUCUUGUUGAUUGUCUUAAUGCUUUUAGAUUACAUACGGAGUAAAGUAAGUUAACCUAUACUCUAAAGUAUGUUUAUAUACAUCCGUAUGUAGUUUGCUAGCAGAAACUUUAAAAUGAUUUAUAUUUAGGAACGAAGGGAGUAGAUGCCAUCGUAGGUUUUUGGUUGGGUGUAGGGGAAGGUAUUUUUUAAUCCAUUCUUGCAUUGGCGAGAUUGAUUGACCGAAUAAAUUUGGUUGAGUGUACGGGAACUUUCUUUAAUCCUUUUUUGCAUUGGUGAGAUUGAUUGACCGGAUAAAUUUGGUUGGGUGUAGGGCAGUACAUAUAGAUGAGUUUUUUUCCUUUCUUUCUGGAAUGUUGUAACUGUGGCUCCAUGUGCACGCUUUUGAUUUUCCUUUUAUGUGUAGAAGGAAUUUCGCAUGUUUGGGGAAGAUUUGGUGCAGGCAGACCAUCUCCUCCAACCGUGUUGCCCACCGGCUCCCUUCUUGAUCCAUCUGAUCCGAGGAAACUUUUGCAGGCCUCAAGCUCACUCCAUCUCCCAUUAGCUUCAACAUCUUAGACAAACAAAGGAUACGGUGGCGCUGUGCCGACUGUCUCCUCUCCUCUUUCCUGGCGUAAGGCGCCUCAAGAUCUAACACCAAGAGGAUGAUAGCUAUUGAAGUGUGAUUGCUUUAGUUAAAGAACGCACUGGUAUGACAUGAGAAAUUAUUUCUGUAACACUUGAUCUUGGGUCUGCAGCACUUGCUAACAGAGAUGCAGCCAAAACAAAGCCUAUACUGACUGUAACAUACUCUGCAGAUCAACACCCGUCUUUUAAUGCGAGGUUGCAGAAAUUCGAAUUUACUAUCUCUGAGAAUUAGUAUAUAUUCUGUUAGGUUCACCGAAUUCUUCUUCUCUUCCUGGAAUUUGCGGCUUACAUUGCUAAUAUUUGAUCCUCGAUAGCAAUGCUAUUUUCCUUCCAUGUUGGUCAUGCCCAAAAAAACAUAGUGCAGGUACAAGGUCUUACCAUUUUGAAGGCUACCUCUGGUUCUUGUAUUUUCAUAUUGAUUUUGUUAAGUGCUCCCUGGCAGUAUUCAUGAACAGUUAGCAAAGGAUGUACAACUUCUAGAUUCCAUUGCAAAGAAACAAGCGUAAAAUUUUCCAGAGUGCAAGCAUUGUCUUGCAGAUGCCUAAGUUCAAUCAGUUUACCCCUUGCCUUAUAUGGAAGAACUAGAGUAGCUUUCUGAGUAUACCAAAAGCUGUCAAAUCAACAACAGAUGUCAGGAGGUAUCCUCAAAGGGUGCAGGUGGGUAUCUCCGUGGGCAUGACAAUAGUUGAAGAAGGAAGAUUCAGGGGUUGAGCAUUAGUUGCGCUACAAUCAAGCUCACACUCUAGCUUUGGCUUCUAGAUACCGCAUAAGGCACAUUCAAGAUUAGAUAGUGAUUUGUAUGGUAUCUCAUAUUUUACUCAGGAAAUGCGCUAUUGUUACCACAAUCGCUUAGUAUCAAGGUGAUGCACCUAAUGUGUCAAAUGCUUUCACAUAUCCGGUAUGUGUCGGACAAAACUAUACCAAGAUGAAGGCAUUGCCUUUAGGAGCUAUUGUGAUCAGAAUAGAUUGGUGAAUUGUUCUGUGGCACCACAAGGUUAAAAUUGUCAUUGGUCUAUGUGUUAAGAUUAAUGUUGAUUUGUGAAUCGGGCGUUAUUCUCAUGCAUGUA